rnacentral:lncRNA from 1 species
UCCAGUGAUGGCAUGAUAUCUUUGAGACCUGAUUAUUUACAUUUUGAUGACAACUAUAAGCAUUUUAAGCUGAGGAUCAUUUAACUUUUAAAUUUCUAUUUUUAUUUAUAUGUUUUUUUUAAUUUUAGUAUGAUUUUUGAAGUGAUGAAGUUUGCACUGGGCUCUGAGAGUAAUUGAUUAAUUGCUUGAUUUGAUGCAUAUUGCAGCCUAGAAAGCUAGUCUGAUCAUUUAUCUUGUUUAAUAAGUAUUAAUUAAUUUAUUUGUUUAUUAUUUUUAGUUUUAAUAAUAAAAAUUGUGGUAUUGCUAUGAUGAUUGAACUUGCAUCCCAGCUCACUAUGAGACCUUGAUAUGUUUGAGGUUCUUGAUUACAAAUAGUUCAUUUUAAUCUGAGCUUUUA